UUCAGUAGAAACAAACAGAAAAAUGUUGUAAUUUCAUAUAAUCCUGUUUUAUUUCUCCAAAUUCAGGGCUUCUGUCCAGUGUGGGAAAGGCAGAAAUGGCCGAGAAGGAGAAUCCAAAAAAAAACUGCAAUCAGCUCCUGGAGCCCAGGGAUGCACGGGAGGCCCCAGCAGGAAAAGCAGGGACUUGAGUGGCUGAGAAAAUAGAAAUUAAAAGGAAGGAGCUGCUUUAAUUUUGUGGG
rnacentral:lncRNA from 1 species